AUAGAACGCUGGCGGCAUGCCUAACACAUGCAAGUCGAACGGGGCAGCAAUGCCUAGUGGCGGACGGGUGAGGAAUACGUAGGAAUCUGCCCUUAAGUGGGGGAUAACCAGGGGAAACCCUGACUAAUACCGCAUGAUCUCUUCGGAGCAAAGAGGGGGACCGCAAGGCCUCUCGCUUCUGUGUUAACCUACGUCUGAUUAGCUAGUUGGUAGGGUAAAGGCCUACCAAGGCGACGAUCAGUAACUGGUCUGAGAGGAUGAUCAGUCACACCGGAAAUAAGACACGGUCCGGACUCCUACGGGAGGCAGCAGUGGGGAAUAUUGGACAAUGGGCGCAAGCCUGAUCCAGCAAUGCCGCGUGUGUGAAGAAGGCCUUCGGGUUGUAAAGCACUUUAGCCUGGAAAGAAAAAACUUUGGUUAACACCCAAAGUCUUGACGGUACCAGGAGAAUAAGCACCGGCUAACUCUGUGCCAGCAGCCGCCGUAACAC
rnacentral:rRNA from 1 species